rnacentral:tRNA from 1 species
GCGCCCGUAGCUCAAUUGGAUAGAGCGUCUGACUACGGAUCAGAAGGUUCCGUGUUCAAGUCACGGCGGGCGCA